GUUCUCAUCCUCCACAGGCCUCUCUUCACACGUGCGGUCCAUGCACCAGAGGAAUCCGGACCGCUCAAGAGUGCACCGGUAAACCCAAAACCCUUUCACACGCCUGGAGGAGUGGCCCAGAUUCCGCUUCCGCCUUUGGGGCGGGGCCGGAAGUGGCGCUAAGACGCGUAAAGUCCCGGCAGGCUGCAGGUAUCGUGGGUGUAGUGCAUCCCAGGGACCUGGUCCUCAGGUUGUAGUUCUCCGUGUUGCCGUGGCCCUUUUUUUUGGCCAGGUAGACGGCACAACCGUCAUUGCUCUCCUUGGUCAAAUCACCUAAAGUUGGGAACUGCCUUUAAGUCCUUUCCCCUCAUCCUGAUCGAUGCUGACAGGUAGGGUACUCCCUCCCGCAACUAUAAAGGAUGAUUUGCCGCCCUCGAGAUAGCAGAAGGGGACGCCAGCAGUUCGUGGCUUCGUGAAGCCCAUGCACGGCCUCCAGGUUAGUCCGGCAGCAGCGAAAGCCCCACACCGCGAGAAUUUGAUACGCGGGGUCUUGGACAGCAAGCACCUCAAGCGCACGCUUAAGCUGCUGCGUUCCGUGCUCCACAUCUUCCGGGCCAAAGGAACAGCGUCCUGCCGGUUCCUACAGUUUGGCUGCAUACUCUCAGUGGGCCAGACCAACAGUGCUCAGAGCUGCCAAGGAGUUGCUGAAGAGGAAAAUGGGCACAACAGUUGACGUUCUGAACAUUCUGGAUACCAAAGGCUCCAUAAAGAUGGGAGCACUCUCUGGUGGGGAACAUAAAGAGCACAGCUUCUGUGGUUAAAGAGAAGUUUCUCACAUAACUGUAAUGCUAAGCCUUCUAAGACAUAGGCUGAUGCCCAAAGCCCUUAAUAAGAGAACCGCAAAGCUGGAGGAAUUGUAUCUAACAGAGCAAAUAUGCCUGCCAUUGCCCAGGAAGAGGUAGGCAACUCCAGACUCCUCUUCUUUCUAUUCCACGAAGCAAGAUGUGGAUCUUAAUGAGAACCCAGACCAGAAGUCCCACAAUCCCAACCGUUGCCAGCUCUGAACUCUAGGAUAGACUCUCAGCCCAGGGCAAAACAAGACCACCAGAGCUAAUUCAAGAUGUCUCAGAUACAACCCACCUUUGUCAACGUCCAUGGGCUGG